rnacentral:lncRNA from 1 species
UGAAGUCAACAUAGGAUUCUUUUUUUUUUUAAUCUUGAUUACGGCUAAAAUAGUUAAGUCUUUGUACAAAUCUUUCAAUCUCAGAAAACAGUAAUCGAGCUACAAAUAGAGCUUAAAAGAUUAGUACAGAGUUACCUUUAUGGAAAGAAAAAAUACAGUGAAAAUGGUGACAACAGAUGUAGCAAGCAAAACUCCGGUUUCUAUUAGUCUUCUUAACAAUACUUAAGGAUGAAAUGAAAGAUGGUGAACGGGAGGAUGAUUAGCUUAUGCUUUACCUGCUCUUUUGGUAACCCAAUCAGGACGUAGACGUGAACUGUAUUUACAUUAUUAUGGAAGAAUCACCAUCCCUUUGGCGAAAAAAAAGAAUCACCAUCCUUGAAAGUUAUUUGGGCGGGAUGCUACAACGUUUUAAAGCAUUUUAGUGCUGAGAAACAAUUCUUGGAAAUUC